UUUUUUUUUUUUUUUUUUUUUUUUUUUUUCU
rnacentral:ribozyme from 2 species